AGGAACUCUUGCCAUUUGCAACAGCAUGGAUGGAACUGGAGAGCAUUAUGCUAAGCAAAUUAAGCCAGUCGGAGAAAGAUAAAUAUCACAUGAUCUCACUC